rnacentral:rRNA from 1 species
UACGUAGGGUGCUAGCGUUGUCCGGAAUUAUUGGGCGUAAAGAGCUCGUAGGCGGCUUGUCACGUCGACUGUGAAAACCCGAGGCUCAACCUCGGGCCUGCAGUGGGUACGGGCAGACUAGAGUGCGGUAGGGGAGAAUGGAACUCCUGGUGUAGCGGUGGAAUGCGCAGAUAUCAGGAAGAACACCGAUGGCGAAGGCAGUUCUCUGGGCCGUAACUGACGCUGAGGAGCGAAAGCGUGGGGAGCGAACAGG